rnacentral:rRNA from 1 species
ACGACGUUGAUAGGCAGGGUGUGUAAGCGUUGUGAGGCGUUGAGCUAACCUGUACUAAUUGCCCGUGAGGCUUAACCAU